rnacentral:rRNA from 1 species
UACAGAGGGGGCAAGCGUUAUUCGGAAUUAUUGGGCGUAAAGGGCGCGCAGGCGGCCGCUCAGGUGGAAGGUGAAAUCCCCCGGCUCAACCGGGGAACUGCCUUCCAAACUGAGUGUCUUGAGGCCGGGAGAGGUGAGCGGAAUUCCCAGUGUAGCGGUGAGAUGCGUACAUAUUGGGAGGAACACCGGUGGAGAAGGCGGCUCACUGGACCGCAACUGACGCUGAGGCGCGAAAGCGUGGGGAGCAAACGGGAUUAGAUACCCCGGUAGUUCACGCCGUAAACGAUGAGUGCUUGGUGUAGCGGGUAUCGACCCCUGCUGUGCCGAAGCUACCGCAUUAAGCACUCCGCCUGGGGAGUACGGUCGCAAGGCUGAAGACUCAAAGGAAUUGACGGGGGCCCGCACAAGCGGUGGAGCAUGCGGUUUAAUUCGAAGCAACGCGAAGAACCUUACCUGGGUUUGAACUGCAGUGGAAAGACGCAGAGAUGCGUCCCCCUCUUCGGAGGCUGCUGUGGAGGUGCUGCAUGGCUGUCGUCAGCUCGUGUCGCGAGAUGUUGGGUUAAGUCCCGCAACGAGCGCAACCCUUGCUCAUAGUUGCCAUCAGUUCGGCUGGGCACUCUAUGGGGACUGCCGGUGACAAACCGGAGGAAGGUGGGGAUGACGUCAAGUCCUCAUGGCCUUUAUGUCCAGGGCCACACCCGUGCUACAAUGGACAGUACAAAGAGUUGCGCUCCCGCGAGGGGGAGCUAAUCUCAUAAAGCUGUUCUCAGUUCGGAGUGCAGUCUGCAACUCGGCUGCAUGAAGUUGGAAUCGCUAGUAAUCGCGGAUCAGCAUUCCGCGGUGAAUACGUCUCCCGGGCCU